CCACAAGAAGAGGAUUAGGGUUCUCCAUUGCACGGGAAAAAGAGAAGACAGAAGAAAAAAAUACACGGUGAGGGGAGAGAGACAGAGAGUGAUGAAGAGAAGAAAAGAAAGGGAGAACUGCCAUCAAAGGAGGAAGAAGAGAAAGAAGGAGAAGAAGACGACGGAAAGAGAAGUUGCCACCGCCACUUUCUCACCGUCUCUGCCUUGCGCUGUUGUUGUUGUUUCUACCUUGCGCUGCCAGAUCUGCCACUACUGUAAUCCCUCUUCUCUGCUCGCCGCCGUCGUGUUUCUCAUUGCUCGAGCUCACGCCUUAUUCUGCUCUGCUCCGUCGUGUUUUUCUGCUCGCGCCGUUCUGAAACCUGUGCUCUGCUCCGCGUUCUGAAACCUUUGCUCUGCUCUGCCGUGGUGCCGUGCUCUAUCCUCUCAGGCAAAUCGACAACUCUCCGCCGUUCACCUCUUUCACUCAAGCCUCUCGCCUCAGCCUCGGUCCUCAACGUCUCUUCCCCCAUCGUCGUCGUUGAAGGCUUGUAGAUUGAUUUUACAUACUACUUGAUUAAUAUAAUUGAAUUGUUGAAUUAAUAACAAUAGUUCCAGUAUACAUCUCUCUCUCUCUCCACGCACAUCUCUUUCAGUUUAAUCGAUUGAAGAAGCUCAUAUAAUCCUUUUCUUCUUUUCAUUGUUUUUGUAGUUUCGAGUUCGAUCAUGUCGAAGGACAAAGACUUUACCGAUUUGUCGCUCACCUUCAAAUACCUCUUAGGCAUCUUAUGUCUCUGUGUUUUCCUCUGAAGAUUAUCAAAGAAGUGUUACUAAUGGUGAGCUUCAAAAAAAGAUGAAUGAUGAAAAAAAAAGAUUACAAGCAAUCGAACUCUGAAGCCAAUGACCGACUCUGUCCAUCUCCUCCGCAAACAAAAGCACUUACUUGUCUGGUCUGAUUUUCAUCCAUGAAUUGAGGACACAUAUGGCUGCAAUAAUUGGGCUACUUGACAUUCUUAUGUCUGACGACUGUCUAACCAACGAACAGUGUGCAACGGUUACUCAUAUAAGAAAAUGCUUGACGGUGCUGUUCCGGCUUCUUAAUAACAUCCUGGAUCUCAGCAAGGUGGAAUCAGGAAAGCUAAUUCUAGAAGAUGCUGAAUUCAACUUGGGAAGGGAACUUGAAGGACUAGUGGAUAUGUUUUCUGUGCAAUCCAUGAAUCACAGUCUAGAGACUGUCUUAGACCUAUCUGAGAGACGGCCCUUGAAAAUUCCAAGCAACUAGUAAGGAACUUAGAAACAAAGCUUGACUCAGCUAAUGCUCAGCACCUUAAGGAGAAAGAAGAAUGGGGACUAAGCCUUAAAAAUGUAGAAGAAACGUGGCGAAUCAAAUGUGACUCAAUGAAGGCUGAAAACGAAGCAACUGUUGCACAAGAUAUGAAAAAGGAGUUGCAAGAGUUCAAACUGCAAUAUAAAAAAUUGAAGGUUGAACAUGCUUCAUUUCAUGAUAUUGCUGAUAAAAUGAUUGAGGAGAAGGAUAAUGAAAUAUCUAGACUUUCAGAUGAUAAUAGGAAUCUUCGUCAAUCUCUUCAAUCAAGACCACAUGUUGACCACAGUGACAAUGAUAAUUAUAACACAGGUAUU